AGCUUUGCGCAGUGGCAGUAUCAUAGCCAAUGAGGUUUAUCCGAGGCACAAUUAUUGCUAAUUGAAAAAUUAUUUAAUCUUUCACUUCUAUCAAUAUUUUUCUUUACUAGGCACUUUUUUUUCUCCAAAGGA
rnacentral:snRNA from 1 species